UCUCUCCCGCUGCUUCCUUAGUUUAGUGUUGCCUGUGUUGUGCCCGAAAGUAGUGUUGUAGAUUUUACUGCGCUGUGCCCGUAAUCAUUCAGUGACCGCCCUGUGCGUGUGUUGCCGCGUCAGGAAAGGAGUGUUGCGUCUCCAGGAGGGUCUUCCCCUUCCGAGUGGCGUCCGCGCUUGCUUCCUUCGUCAGGCACCUCCCGCCUCACGCCUUCCUUCCUCCCGUCUCCCGGAGUGUACACACCUGCACUCUUGAGGUGAGUACACUUACUCUUUUCUUUCCUGGUAAUUGUUUUCACUGUGUUUUCUAUUGCACACACUCAGAAAGUAGAAAAUGAGGCACUAACGAGGCAAGACUUUAUGACACAAAGACUAAACACAAUAAUAAUAAUAAAAAUAAUAAUAAUAAUAAUAAUAAUAAUGAUAAUAAUAAAUGGUUUAUUAAUAAGGCAGUUUACAAACUGAAAAUGUACAGAGAGGGUGGGAAAAUACUUAACAUUAAUCCUGAAGCUAAGCCUAAUCUAAUAGCAAAAUACUGUUGAUUGAUGGCUCGCACCAUGGUGGGAAUCGCGUUGAGUCUGUACCGGUCCGUGCGCGGCGCCUUUAGGGGCGUUAUCUUGUUGUGGUGUCUGGUGGCACGGACCAGGCGAGGUGCGUCAGGAAGCAGCAUGUGUCUGAGGCGUGGAUGAUGCAGAAGUCUCCUUCCAAACUUCUCCAGAGCCUCUCGGUGCCUGGUGGAUAGUCUGGACGUCUGAACAGACUCAGGGUGGUCAGGGCUUCAUCACAGGUGGUGUAGGCAGGGACAAAGAUGACCCUGCACGCCCUCUUCUGCACUCUCUCCAGCUGGAGCUGUUGAGUGUGUGUGAGGGAGGAGGACCACGCUGGGGAGGCGUACAUGAGUUUGGGGAGGAUGAAGGUGAGGCACACUCCCCUUAACUCGCCUGUCAGUGUCCCCAGCGACCUGAGUCUGCGCAUCAUGUACAGCUUGUAGGUAGCGGAUCUUACGGUGCUGGCGACAUGCUGCUUCCAGGUCAGCUGGUCGUCCACCGUGACUCCGAGAAGCACAUCCAGAGGCACAUCGGACCACCUGGAGGGGGUGAGAGCCCACUGUGAGCCGGGGAGGGGGCACUGGUACAGAGGAGGUACAGAAAUGCAUCACCACUGUUUCGCUGUGGUUGAUGGUCAUCCUGCUCUCCUCCGUCCAUGUCUGCAGUCACUCCAAAAUGACUUGCAGUGGCGAGUAGUCCGGGUUCCUGUCGGAGACUGGGACGCCCACGGUGCAGUCGUACACAUACUUCCAGCCAUGGGGGUGUUAGUGAGGGCGUCGUUAAUGAGAAGGAGGAAGCAUAGUGGGCUCAUCUUGGUCCCCUGGGGGACUCCACAUGUCAGCUGUUGGAUAUUAGAGACAGAGCCUUGAUAGCAAACGGCCUGACGCCUCCCUGAGAGGGUGUUGGCUAGCCACGCUACCAGGUUAGGAGGGAGACCCAGACUUAUUGCCUUGCUGAAGACAACAAAGAGAUCAACAAGAUCAAAGGCUUUUUUGAAGUCCACAAAAGCAGCAGGUAGAGAGGUGUUUCGCUUGUCCAGGUGGCUGUGGAUGAAGUCAAAGAAGCUGGUCAGGUAAUGGGAGGUGGAGGUGGCUUUAAUAUUUCCAAACUGUCUGAUAUCCACGAUAUAACAAGUUUUGGUGUAGCCCAGUCAUACACAAAAUCUUCACAAAUAAAACUAGGGAUGGGGGUGAUAGAGACUGGUCUGAGGUCACCGAGUGACUGUGGACUGGAAGCUUUGCGGAUGGGAGAGAUGUAAGAUGUCUUCCAGUCCGCGGGGCAAGAGUGUUGGGAAAGAGGCGUUUAUUAUGGGGCAUAGCGGUGUUGCUGGCUCUUCCCAUAUGGGAAGGUCAGUGGGUGUGGUGGAUCUUGGUAUCUUUAA